GGGAAGUUGGCUUAGUGGUAGAGUGCUUGCCUUGCAUGUAUGAGGCCAUAGGUUCAAUUCCUUAGUAUCACA
rfam:Dipodomys ordii contig_66162, whole genome shotgun sequence.